rnacentral:rRNA from 1 species
GACGAACGCUGGCGGCGUGCCUAACACAUGCAAGUCGGACGAGAAAGUUUCCUUCGGGAAGCGAGUAAAGUGGCGCACGGGUGAGUAACACGUAGACAACCUGCCUUCCAGUCCGGGACAACCUUUCGAAAGAAGGGCUAAUACCGGAUAACACUUUGGGCCGCAUGGCCUGAGGUUGAAAGAUUUAUCGCUGGAAGAGGGGUCUGCGGGACAUUAGCUAGUUGGCGGGGUAACGGCCCACCAAGGCGACGANGUCUAGCGGGUCUGAGAGGAUGAUCCGCCACACUGGAACUGAGACACGGUCCAGACUCCUACGGGAGGCAGCAGUGGGGAAUUUUGCGCAAUGGGCGAAAGCCUGACGCAGCAACGCCGCGUGAGUGAAGAAGGCCU